rnacentral:rRNA from 1 species
GAUGAACGCUGGCGGCGUGCCUAAUACAUGCAAGUCGAGCGAACAGACGAGGAGCUUGCUCCUCUGACGUUAGCGGCGGACGGGUGAGUAACACGUGGAUAACCUACCUAUAAGACUGUGAUAACUUCGGGAAACCGUAGCUAAUACCGGAUAAUAUAUUGAACCGCAUGGUUCAAUAGUGAAAUACGGUUUUGCUGUCACUUAUAGAUGGAUCCGCGCCGCAUUAGCUAGUUGGUAAGGUAACGGCUUACCAAGGCAACGAUGCGUAGCCGACCUGAGAGGGUGAUCGGCCACACUGGAACUGAGACACGGUCCAGACUCCUACGGGAGGCAGCAGUAGGGAAUCUUCCGCAAUGGGCGAAAGCCUGACGGAGCAACGCCGCGUGAGUGAUGAAGGUCUUCGGAUCGUAAAACUCUGUUAUUAGGGAAGAACAAAUGUGUAAGUAACUGUGCACGUCUUGACGGUACCUAAUCAGAAAGCCACGGCUAACUACGUG